UUGCUUUGGCAGCAAAUAUACUAAAGUUGAAAUAAUACAGAGAUGAUUAGCACAGACCCUGUGCAAAGAUGACACACAAAUUCAUAAAGUAUUCAUAUUUUUC
ensembl:snRNA U6 U6 spliceosomal RNA